rnacentral:rRNA from 1 species
GAUUUUGACUGUGCAAAGGUAGCAUAAUCAUUAGUCUUUUAAUUGAAGGCUGGAAUGAAUGGUUGGAUGAAGARAAAACUGUUUUAUAUUAAUAAAUUUGAAUUUAUAAUUUAAGUAUAAAUACUUAAAUAAUAUUAGGGGCGGAAGACCCUAUAGAGUUUAAUAUAAUGAAGUUUGUUUGUUGUUGUAUGUAAGAAUUGAUAUUAAUUAUAUUUAGUUGGGGUGAUUGAAAAAUAAUUGAAUUUUUCUUAUGUAUAUAAGGUGAGCAGAAUUGGAUCCAUUAUUAGUGAUUAUAAGAUUAAAUUACCUUAGGGAUAACAGCAUNAUUUUUUUUGAGAGUUCAUAUUGAUNAAAGACNUNAUGACCUCGAUGUUG